AUUUGUCUGGUUAAUUCCGUUAACGAACGAGACCUUAACCUAUUAAAUAGUGUAUUGAACAAAUUCCAUUUAAAAAUAAAGAAUAUUAAAAUUUAGGUAUUUAGGAAUCUUUAAAAAUUCUUUCUUAUUUUUUUUUUUUUACUUUUUUUUUGGUUUUUCAGUUCAUUAAAAAACUUCUUAGAGGGACUCUUUGCACAUCCUCAUAGUGAAUGGAAGUUUGAGGCAAAAACAGGUCUGUGAUGCCCUUCGAUGUUCUGGGCCGCACGCGCGUUACAAUGAAUAAGGCAACAAGUUAUUAAUACUUCCUUAUUUUAAAAGAUUGGGUAAUCUUAAUAAAUUUAUUCGUAAUGGGGAUAGAAUAUUGAAAUUAUUAUUCUUAAACGAGGAAUUCCUAGUAAUAUUAAAUCAUCAAUUUGUGUUGAUUACGUCCCUGCCCUUUGUACACACCGCCCGUCGCUCCUACCGAUUGAACGGCCUGGUGAGAACUAUGGACACUAAUUCUAAAAUGUUUUUUAAAUAAAUAUUUUUCACUUAUUUAGUGAAAUUAGUCAAACCCUACCGUAGAGAAAGAKGGUUUUUUGGUU
rnacentral:rRNA from 1 species